rfam:Bombyx mori DNA, contig: Bm_scaf743_contig44432, strain: p50T/Dazao, build 2, whole genome shotgun sequence.
UUAACUCAAAUUUGUAUGGAGUCGGAACAUUUGUCUACGUUUGUCGCUAGGGGCGCUGUUUCAACUGCAUACAAAUUUGAGCUA